GACGAACGCUGGCGGCGUGCUUAACACAUGCAAGUCGAACGCUGAAGCUUGGUGCUUGCACUGGGUGGAUGAGUGGCGAACGGGUGAGUAAUACGUGAGUAACCUGCCCUUGACUCUGGGAUAAGCCUGGGAAACUGGGUCUAAUACUGGAUACGACAUGUCACCGCAUGGUGGUGUGUGGAAAGGGUUUUACUGGUUUUGGAUGGGCUCACGGCCUAUCAGCUUGUUGGUGGGGUAAUGGCUCACCAAGGCGACGACGGGUAGCCGGCCUGAGAGGGUGACCGGCCACACUGGGACUGAGACACGGCCCAGACUCCUACGGGAGGCAGCAGUGGGGAAUAUUGCACAAUGGGCGGAAGCCUGAUGCAGCGACGCCGCGUGAGGGAUGACGGCUUUCGGGUUGUAAACCUCUUUCAGCACGGAAGAAGCGAAAGUGACGGUACGUGCAGAAGAAGCGCCGGCUAACUACGUG
rnacentral:rRNA from 1 species